GAAAUGCGAUAAGUAGUGUGAAUUGCAGAAUUCAGUGAAUCAUCGAAUCUUUGAACGCACAUUGCGCCCUUUGGUAUUCCUUAGGGCAUGCCUGUUCGAGCGUCAUUUGAACCCUCAAGCUCAGCUUGGUGUUGGGUGUCUGUCCCCGCCCCGCGGGGACUCGCCUCAAAAACAUUGGCGGCCGGUACGUUGGCUUCGAGCGCAGCAGAAACGCGAACUCGGGGCCCGACGUAGCGGCGACCACAAGUCUAUUCAUCACUUUGACCUCGGAUCAGGUAGGGAUACCCGCUGAACUUAA
rnacentral:misc_RNA from 1 species